rnacentral:rRNA from 1 species
AUAUCAAUAAGCGGAGGAAAAGAAACCAACAGGGAUUGCCUCAGUAACGGCGAGUGAAGCGGCAGCAGCUCAAAUUUGAAAUCUGGCUUCUCGGAGCCCGAGUUGUAAUUUGUAGAGGAUGUUUCGGGUACCGCUCCGGCUUAAUUUUCUUGGAACAGAAUGUCGCAGAGGGUGAGAAUCCCGUCUGGAGCCGCGGUAGGGCCUAUGUGAAACUCCUUCGACGAGUCGAGUUGUUUGGGAAUGCAGCUCAAAAUGGGUGGUAAAUUUCAUCUAAAGCUAAAUAUUGGCCAGAGACCGAUAGCGCACAAGUAGAGUGAUCGAAAGAUGAAAAGCACUUUGAAAAGAGAGUUAAACAGUAUGUGAAAUUGUUGAAAGGGAAGCGCUGGCAACCAGACUUGCGUGUAGGGGUUCCCCCUCGCUUCUGCGUGGGUUACUCCCCUAUAUCCAGGCCAACAUCGGUUUUGGCGGUCGGUCAAAGGCCUUGGGAAUGUACCUUCCCCCGGGAAGACUUAUAGCCCAGGGUGUCAUGCGGCCUGCCGGGACCGAGGAACGCGCUUCGGCUCGGAUGUUGGCGUAAUGGUUGUCAGCGA